rnacentral:rRNA from 1 species
CCUACGGGAGGCAGCAGUCGAGAAUCAUUCACAAUGGGGGAAACCCUGAUGGGGCGACGCCGCGUGGGGGAAUGAAGGUCUUCGGAUUGUAAACCCCUGUCAUGUGGGAGCAAAUUAAAAAGAUAGUACCACAAGAGGAAGAGACGGCGAACUCUGGGCCAGCAGCCGCGGUAAUACAGAGGUCUCAAGCGUGGUUCGGAACCACUGGGCGUAACGGGUGCGUAGGCUGUUUCGUAAGUCGGGUGUGAAAGGCGCGGGCUCAACCCGCGGACUGCACAUGAUACUGCGAGACUAGAGUAAUGGAGGGGGAACCGUAAUUCUCGUUGUAGCCGU